rnacentral:rRNA from 1 species
AGUGGAGGUUAACAGAUGUACAGGUGGUGCAUGGUUGUCGUCAGCUCGUGUCGUGAGAUGUUGGGUUAAGUCCCGCAACGAGCGCAACCCUUAUUGCUAGUUACCAUCAUUCAGUUGGGGACUCUAGCGAGACUGCCAGUGAUAAACUGGAGGAAGGUGGGGAUGACGUCAAAUCAUCAUGCCCCUUAUGACCUGGGCUACAAACGUCAUACAAUGGCUGAAACAAAGAGAAGCGAAGCAGUGAUGUGGAGCAAAACUCAUAAAAGCAGUCUCAGUUCAGAUUGUAGUCUGCAACUCGACUACAUGAAGUCGGAAUCGCUAGUAAUCGCAGAUCAGCAUGCUGCGGUGAAUACGUUCUCGGGGUUU